UGGAGAGUUUGAUCCUGGCUCAGAUUGAACGCUGGCGGCAGGCCUAACACAUGCAAGUCGAGCGGUAACAGAAAGUAGCUUGCUACUUUGCUGACGAGCGGCGGACGGGUGAGUAAUGCCUGGGAAUUUGCCCAUUCGAGGGGGAUAACAGUUGGAAACGACUGCUAAUACCGCAUACGCCCUACGGGGGAAAGGAGGGGACCUUCGGGCCUUCCGCGAAUGGAUAAGCCCAGGUGGGAUUAGCUAGUAGGUGAGGUAAUGGCUCACCUAGGCGACGAUCCCUAGCUGUUCUGAGAGGAUGAUCAGCCACACUGGGACUGAGACACGGCCCAGACUCCUACGGGAGGCAGCAGUGGGGAAUAUUGCACAAUGGGCGAAAGCCUGAUGCAGCCAUGCCGCGUGUGUGAAGAAGGCCUUCGGGUUGUAAAGCACUUUCAGCGAGGAGGAAAGGUUACUGGCUAAUAUCCAGUAGCUGUGACGUUACUCGCAGAAGAAGCACCGGCUAACUCCGUGCCAGCAGCCGCGGUA
rnacentral:rRNA from 1 species